rnacentral:sRNA from 1 species
CUCACAGAUCCAUAAGAUGCUUUGGCUGAGUUUGCUAGCCAGUGAUAAUAGAAAACUAAGCAAUGAUCUUUCUCUUCUCUUCUCUUCUCGGAAGUGUCCAUAGUCUUCUGUUUGACUCUCCUUUGUGAGAUCUUCCCUUUUGAACAGUCGCUGUCUUCACCCCUCCUCACUCUUUAUUUCUCUCUCUCUUUUGUUAGAGCAGUUUCCACUUCCAUUCACUUUUUGCCCAUGAUCCAUUUCGACCUGUUACAGUGGAGAAAUUUCUCUGUCCAAUUGCUUCUGAUUGAGGGGCUAGCUUCUUUUUUUUGUUGGGGUUCUUUAGGGUUACAUGGGACAUGGGUCAUUUUUAUUCAAUUAUAAGUUAAUGUGAAAGUGGAACCACAGAUCUCUGUACCAAAAACCUUGCAAUUUAAGUGUUACUAUGUGUUUUUCUAAUUUCUGCUUUUUAUUUUUGUUUAUUUUGUUGAUGAUCUAACAGGUAAGAGAGCUUUCUUCAGUCCACUCAUGGGUGGCGAUGGGAUUUAAUUAGCUGCCGACUCAUUCAUCCAAAUACUGAGUUAAAAGGAUCAGCAAAGAUACCCAGUAAAUGAGUGAAUGAUGCGGGAGACAAAUUGAAUCCUAAACUUCCUGUGCUUGGACUGAAGGGAGCUCCCUCUGCUGUUAUUUUAUCCACUUGUAACUCUUUUUAGUUUCUUAGAUCUUCUUUUGUCUUGUUCAUAUCACAAUUUCAUGUACUUUACUCAAGGUUUUUCAUAUCUUUUUAUGACAGCCAUGCUUUUAUAUAUAUAUUUAUAUAUCACAAUUCUAAGUAGUACUUUAGUGCUGAGGUAAUGUUGGAAUGAUGAUCUUUAACUUAUUCGUUUAUUCUUUUUCGUGGACAUAUGUCUAGAUUAUCUCAACUUCUUAAUGGCGGUGGGUUAUCUUUGUUCGGCUUCAACGAAUCUAAAGAAAUACGCCACCAGUUUCCUGACUAGGGCUAAGGUUUCGGCUCGAAAACCUUGGAGACCAGAAGUUUUAGGGUUUCUGUCAAGCUGGAGUUGCAGUUUCUUGUUAAAAGCUCCCUAAAAAGGCAACGCAUGGGAGGAGAAGCUCGCAAAGCUCACGCUCUACGACAAAACCUUCUUGGGUCUUGCUAUCUUACUGCAACAAGUUCCUAGACAUGUCUGCCAACAUUGGAAUUACCAAAACAUCCCCUUCCGGUUGUUUAAAAAAGUCUUUGGACCAAGAUUUGCAGGAAUGUGAAGCACUAAUCUUUGUUCUAAUCCUGUGUCUUUGGGUGAUUUUACUCUUUUCAAGUUUGGAUGCAAAGGUAAAACGCAGCACUUUUUCUGUAUGCCCACUUUCUAGUUCCUUUCCUGUAUAAACAUUGAUAAGCAAAAAUCAAUUAAUUAUUUAAUUGCAAUAAAUAGGGCUUUGAAAAAGUAAUAAAUGAAUUAGCAUACAUCUACCAGAACCUUCUGCUGUUACGUAUGGGAAGUUGCAACAGGCAGUUUCCAAUUAACAUCUGGCAGUAUUGAGCAAUUUUCAUCAUGUCAACCAUUCAUGGUUGCUUGUAUGUCCAUAUAAAAAACCUUUGAUAAAAGGAUACUUAGGCUUU